rnacentral:rRNA from 1 species
CCUACGGGACGCAGCAGUGGGGGAUAUUGGACAAUGGGGGAAACCCUGAUCCAGCGAUGCCGCGUGAGGGAAGAAGGUUUUCGGAUUGUAAACCUCUGUGGACAGGGACGAUAAUGACGGUACCUGUCAAGAAAGCCACGGCUAACUACGUGCCAGCAGCCGCGGUAAUACGUAGGUGGCGAGCGUUGUCCGGAAUUACUGGGUGUAAAGGGAGUGUAGGCGGGAAGGCAAGUCAGAAGUGAAAAUUAUGGGCUCAACCCAUAACCUGCUUUUGAAACUGUUUUUCUUGAGUGAAGCAGAGGCAA